UAUUCAAAUAGCUUAUAUUUAGAGUAUGACACUGAAGAUGUUAUGGAGAUUAAUUUAAUCUUUGAAUAU
rnacentral:tRNA from 1 species